UCACCGUGAUGAUUGAGUUCCAUAUCAUUCGUAGUUUCCACCAGAAAGGCAUCAUCGCCUCAUGUUGGCAAACACCUUCCUUGGAUGUCUGAGUGA
ensembl:snoRNA SNORD14 Small nucleolar RNA SNORD14